UCCGGGGGGGGCAAGCGUUGUUCGGAAUUACUGGGCGUAAAGGGCGCGUAGGCGGCCUUCUAAGUCGGACGUGAAAUCCCGCGGCUUAACCGAGGAACUGCGUCUGAUACUGGAAGGCUUGAAUCCGGGAGAGGGAUGUGGAAUUCCAGGUGUAGCGGUGAAAUGCGUAGAUAUCUGGAGGAACACCGGUGGCGAAGGCGGCAUCCUGGACCGGAAUUGACGCUGAGGAGCGAAAGCUAGGGGAGCAAACGGG
rnacentral:rRNA from 1 species